UACGUAGGGGGCAAGCGUUGUCCGGAUUUACUGGGCGUAAAGAGCGUGUAGGCGGCCACGCAGGUCCGUUGUGAAAACUGGAGGCUCAACCUUCAGACGUCGACGGAAACCGUGUGGCUAGAGUCCGGAAGAGGAGAGUGGAAUUCCUGGUGUAGCGGGGAAAUGCGCAGAUAUCAGGAAGAACACCAAUGGCGAAGGCAGCUCUCUGGGACGGUACUGACGCUGAGACGCGAAAGCGUGGGGAGCGAACAGG
rnacentral:rRNA from 1 species